GGCAGGGCACAGCAGAGCUCAGGGCUCCUGGAGAGGAGUCAGCUUUGGAGAAAGGACCACCCGGUCGCCGCUCCACACGGGGGAGUUGGCCCUGAACGACAGACUCAAAUGCACACCUGUUCCCGG